AAUAAAUAUAAUUUUACAUUAUUCAUAUCUAACGUUUGAUCAUUUAUUUUAUUUGAAAUUUUGUUAUGAUCAGUAUUUUUAUUAUUAUUAGAUAAUAAAAUAUGUACUUUAUGUGUGAUCUUUUUUAUUUUUUUCAUAAUUUUUUUAAAUAAGACGGACAGUCAAAUGUUGUACACGGAUAUCCACAGUUACUCUUAUU
rnacentral:pre_miRNA from 1 species